UAAAGGUCAUGGGAGAAAGUAACAUUUACUGGGCACUCUCUGUGGACUAGGCUCUCUUCCAGGUACUCUACAUCCUUCACACGAUUUAAUCCUUUCAGUAACCCUCCAAGAGACACAUGAUCAUUUGAGUUUGUACAGCUGAGAAAAGUGAGGCCCUGAGAAGCUGGGGGACCCAGGUGCCCAGAGACGGGAACAGGACGAGGGCAGGAAGCCAGGCCUUCUCGUGCCAGGCCCCCGGAGCCUUUCUCUUCCAGAGGUCAUUGUGGUUGAAUUUAAAACUAUAAUUUAGUUGCCUGUAUUCUUCCCAGAAGGCAUCCCAGAGACUGGCUUAUGUAGUGACAAAGUGUCCUGUGAAGCGUGAAACAAGCAGACAGAAGAGCCCCAGGACUGGAAGCGGUGCCAGGGCUCAUUGAAUCAGAACGGAGCAGAGGCUCUUGCUGAUUGCCUUGAAGACAACAACUGCCUCUGAGUUGUUCAAAUAGCACGUCCGAGGCCCUGAAAGCGGAAGGCUCGUCGCGGGCCCUGGGCACGGCCCGAGGGCAGCAGAGGCAAGAAGACACAUUCGAUUCAAAUGAUUUUUGCCCUUUGGUAACUCGCACUGUGAUCCGCAGCCCCUGGUGUGUGGACUGGUACCAGUUCAUGGCCUGUUAGGAACCAGGCUGCACAGCAGGAGGACUGGAAAAGUCUGACAGCCCCAGACCCACACUGCCUCGCACAGCAGAGCCAUCCCAUUGGCUAGCUUUACUGUCUCCUGGGAUCACCAUCAGCCUCAGGUAACCACUACUGUACUCUCUAACUCUAUAAGACCAGCUUUCUCAGCUUACACACUGAGCAAGAAGAUGCAAUAUUUGUCUUUCUCUGCUUGGCUUAUUUCACUUAACAUAAUGACUUCCAGUUCUAUCCACGUUGCUGCA